UAGCUUGGGAGAGGUGAUUAUUAUUUUUCAGACAGUACAGAUCGUUUGUCAACUUGUUGUUGCCAUGCAAUUUCCACAAUAACUAUACUGUAGAAACUGCAACUAAGAUUCUCCUUUCCCCCAAGAGCUAGUUCUUAAAAAUUACACCACAAGAUGUCUAUAUUCCCAAUAUUUAGCAAAAUAAAUAUAGAAUGAAGUUAGAAUUUGAAAUCAAGAGGUAAUAAAAGGGGCAGAUAUGCAAAUUAAGUUAUUUGCUGGGAUAAGUAAUUGAAGUUUUACAUUCCUUUGUAAACAUACUCUUUGGUUCUUAGUCAUUUACAUUUGGAGUAAUUAGAGGUUUUUGUUGUUGCUGUUUUGUUUUGUCUUCGUCUUUAAAAGUGUCUCCUUUAUGUAGUUGUUCUGGGGAAGAGAAGAAGCCAUUAUAUGUAUUGCUGCUGCUUAUGACAGAGUUGAUAUCCACUAAGGCCAGUUGUCUAUCAAAGCUUAAGUUUCAAUUCUUAGACAAUAAAGCCUAUUUUAAAAACUAGUGUAAAUACCUGUAAGUAUUGUACAUGCCUGUACCUUCAAAUGUAAAGUAAGCCACGGUACCUUGUGAGACAUGUGUUCCUUGUGUUCCUUGGUUCAUAUUCACAAUCUCAACUUUAUUAAUUUGGGGGGAAAGGUUUUUUGACUCAGCAACUAUUUUGUCUGUAUAUUUCAGUGUAAAUGUAUCUUGAAGUUACUGUGAAUCUCUAUUUAAAAAGUCAAUGCGUGUAAUUGUAUGCUAAACUUCUUUUUUUAUUUUGAAAUCAAACUGAAAAAUAUGAAGAAAAAUAAUUUUAAAAUUUCAACAUCUGAGGGGGUAAGUUGACUUGGCAGGUAAUGGUGCUUGUUGCAGAGUUUGCUGACCUGAGUUCUAUUGCUGGGACCUGCAUGCUGAAAGGAACAAACCAAUAGUUCACAAAUUUUCCACUAACUUUCAUGUGUACAUUGUGGCUUUUGUGUGUACAUGCACACAGUACUCAUAGAUGUACAAAAGAAAAAGAAAAGAAAGAGAAUUUUUUAAAUAUGCCAUUUGUCCAUAUAUAAAAUACCAACAUUGUGUUUGAAUUGCAAAAAUCUAGAACUUAUGGGACAUUUAAUCAUUAUGUUAUCAUGGUUAUGUAGCAAGUUACCUUGUAAGAUUUAGUUCUUGCUUGUAAUUGUAAUUUCAUUUUUAUGUGGAAAAUAAAAAUAUUUCUGAAUUGAAUAUCUAUUUCUUUAUGUAUUCAUCUUAAAUGUGUCCAAACAAACUUUAAUUUUCUAUUUCAAAUGUCUGCUCCUGUUGACUCGUACUUAAAUUUUUCUUCUCUUUUGAGGAAAUCAUAGGAAAAUGUCUAAGUUGUCAGCCAGCUCAUCUUGUAAAAUGUCAGGGAUGACUGGGCAUCUCAGAAUACAGGAGUUUUGGGGACUCAGUUUUUCCUUAUCUGACUUGUUUGUUUUGCAAUUGAGUCUUGUCGAAAGUCAUGUGGCUGGGCAGUAGAUAAGCCACCUGGUACUGAUGGCUCCUGAUGCUCUACCACAUGCCACCUUUACAAGUUCCUAUGCUAGAGUGAUAGUAGUGAUGACUUGUCAUUCUUAGCUUAAGGCAAGGGGCCAGAAGACUGAACAUAGUCACUAAUAUAUAGUGAGAAUGUAGAAAGACACUACCUCACAAAGUCAUUUCUAGUUCUACAGAUGCUGAAGUUAAUGGAUCUAUAAAACUGAUGAUACAAAAAAAUGUUCACUGUCAUGCUUUCUUCUGAGGAAUGAUCUUACCCUUAUCAGAAACCAGUUAGCAACCAGAGAGCUCCUGGCAUGGCAGUGUUUGUAUCAAAAAUACUUCAGGAGGCGCAAUGAAUAAGAGUGCUUACUGGCCAAGCGUGUGGACCUGAGUUUGAAUCCUGUUGCCCCUAUAUAAAGAGUGGGGCAGGCUUUUUACCUGGUCUGUUCAGAAGGUGGACACAAAGAGCCUGGGAAGUUACUGAACAGACAGCCUACAAAACAUGGGAAGCUUUAGGUUCAGUGACAGAUUUUAUCUCAAGGGAAUAUGGUGGAAGAAGAAAGAACAGGAGAUCUAGAGCUACCGUCUGGACUCUGCACCUUUGUAUGCACACACAAGAUUUUUAAAACAAAGUAAUCUGGAAGUAUCCAGUUUGAACGUAUACAACCACUCCUGCAGGAGUAUAUGCCUUGUGAUAUUUUCCUUUCUAUUUAUUUUUCUUGUUUAUAACAGUUUUUAGAAGAUAUUCGUAUGUGCUUGGUACUUUAUUUGAUCUACUUUUUUUUGUUUUGUUUUGUUUUUCGAGACAGGGUUUCUCUGUAUAGCCCUGGCUGGCCUGGAAUUCACUCUGUAGACCAGGCUGGCCUCGAACUCAGAAAUCCGCCUGCCUCUUUAAUCCCGAGUGCUGGGAUUAAAGGUGUGCGCCACCACGCCCGGCUUUGAUCUACUUUUGACAAGUAUAUAUACUAUGAUUUCUUUAACAUGGUGAAUCUCAAGACUGAGAUAAGGGGGAAAUAAUUUAUUUAAGGUGACAGUUAAACAUUCUACAAAGUAGCAUUCUGAGAGUGUAAUGCAGGUAGGUCUUCUGUCUUCUAGCUGGAGUUCCUAUUAGUAUUUUCACUUGCAUCCAUUUUAGGAUUUACUUUGUACAUAAAAAAAGUUGCACUUACUAUAUCUUAAAUAAUUCUCUUCAAAUUAUACAAGAUAAACAGUAAGUUAAGUUUUCUAGGACUAUAGUAUUGGGUUUAUAAAAUACAAAGAUAUGGUAGUGAUAUCAUAUGGUGGAAAGAGUUUGACUUGCCUCUUUGAUGUGAUUAAGAUGUUUCCAAUUACUGAGAAUUAUUUUAACUUAAAUAUUAGUAUUCCUUUUCACUCUUUAAUCUUUCCCAGCUUAAAAUUUUAAUUUAAUUUUAUGGUUCCAGAAGAAAAGUUUGGUUUUUAAAUUUGUCAAGAAUACCCUAUAUUUGUAAGAUAUUCCUAAAUACUACAUUAACCAUUUAGAUGAGAAUUCUAUUAUUUGAGUAAUUCCCAGAAAUGUAUGAUAAUUUUUUUUAAAAAUUGUAAUUCUUCAUUUGAUUAUUUUCCUAGAAAUAGCAACAGAAACAACUAGCUGGCUGAGAGCUGUUUAUUAACCAAACAUUUAUUAGUUUUCUCUCCCAAGUACCAAACUUCGCUUGGCUUAUUUCAUCUACUUAAGUUUACUUCUUGAUGACCAACUCUAUUUUAAAUGAUCUACUCUUGAUAAUUUGAAGAGACCAAAGAAGAUAGCCAUUAGUCCUACAUCUAGGAUUACAAAACUCCAGACAAUAUCACCUACUCUUGGUCUUGCUUUGAUGUGUUUGAACUACAUGAACUAUACUAUAUCAGAAUACUGCCUUGAAAGGUUGCACAACCAACAAUGAUAUUUAAUUAGAGUACAAAGUAAUGGGUUUCACUAUGACAUUUUCAUACCUGAUUAUCAUUUUGCUUUGCUUAUUAUUUUUCCUACUAUGGUAGAAAAAUUAUUAAUCUCCAUUUACAUCAAUGGUUUCCAACCUUUCUACUUCUGCAACCUGUAGUGACGAUUAUGAAAUUUUUACUUCUUAAGAAUAGGAAAGAAAUUUCACAAGAUAGAAACAGAGGUACUCUACCCAAUUCAUUCUAUGUAGCCACAGUUACUCUGAUACAUAAACCACACAAAGACUG
rnacentral:lncRNA from 1 species